CGAGAACUACUCGGAAUGUGAGCGGACGGGGCAGGAGUGAAGUGAAGGAGAGGAAAAUGGUGGGGAUGAUGCCAGCGCUGAAUUCUCGAGUCACGUUACUGAACAUAGUGGAUCAACACAAAGAUAAAGAAGCUGGCUUUGUGGGCAUGCAAUCUAUGCAGUCACCGAGUCUGAGUCCCCACACCCAGAAGAGCUUCUUGAUUUGUUUAAUAGUUUUUGGCCCCCUUAAAAUUUUUAAUAUUUGUUGUAAAUUAUUUAAUUGGUUCUGAGGCAAAUUAGAGGUAAUGCUUAUUUUGAUGAUGAACUGUGAAUAAUAACAGAAGUACCAGACUGGAAGAUCUCACCUAGGAUGCAUCACUAAUUAAUAGUCUGAGCACUGGAAGUUAACCAUUUAAUCUAUCUGGUGAACUUGGUGAGUGAGUUAAACUGGAGCAGUAGUUUAAAGCAGAUGAUACAGUCCUUAUGAUUUUUGAUUUUUGCUGCAGCGGGAAAGAGCUUCCCUGGUGGCUCAGAUGGUAAAGAAUCUGCCUGUAAUACAGGAGACCUGGGUUUGAUCCCUGGGUCAGGAAGAUCCCCUGGAGAAGGGAAUGGCAACCCAUUCCAGUGUUCUUGCCUGGAGAAUUCCAUGGACAGAGGAGACUGGUGGGCUUUAUAGUCCAUGGAGUUGCAAAGAGUCAGACAUGACUGAGCAGCUAACACUGCUACUACUGAUGGAGGGGAACGAGGGGACCGGCCUCUGGGUCCCUGUUCCUGCUUCAGUGUGAAGAGUGGGUCUUUUGUCUCUUGCAUGUUCCAAAGGUCUCUUCAGGGUCAACUACACUAUUCUAGGAAUAGUAUUCUUGGAAGUCAGAACUUAUGACUGGGGAUGAGGUAAAAACAGAGAGGCAUAGAGUGCAGUGAUUUUCCAGGAUGAAAGGAGUUUAUGUAAAGAUUUGGAUUGGGAAGGGCCAGAUGCCAAGAAAAUUAUGAUGGCAAAUUAAACUCCUCACUUGCCAGCUGAAAUACUGUCUGCAAUGAAUUCUUCCUUGAUUCACCUCGUUUCUUCUGACAUUUCUUUCAUCUGAACUCCCAUUGGCCUUAAGAUCUUAUCACUCAUUUGACACAAACAUGCUGCUUUAAAUAACAUUUUGAUAAAAAUGCUAAUAUUAGCAUUGCAGUACUGUAUUUUUUGUUUCUGGUGGAAUAAAAGUUUCAUUUGGAUGGCC
rnacentral:lncRNA from 1 species